rnacentral:rRNA from 1 species
GACGAACGCUGGCGGCGUGCUUAACACAUGCAAGUCGAACGGAAAGGCCCUGCUUUUGUGGGGUGCUCGAGUUGCGAACGGGUGAGUAACACGUGAGUAACCUGCCCUUGACUUUGGGAUAACUUCAGGAAACUGGGGCUAAUACCGGAUAGGAGCUCCUGCUGCAUGGUGGGGGUUGGAAAGUUUCGGCGGUUGGGGAUGGACUCGCGGCUUAUCAGCUUGUUGGUGGGGUAGUGGCUUACCAAGGCUUUGACGGGUAGCCGGCCUGCGAGGGUGACCGGCCACAUUGGGACUGGGAUACGGCCCAGACUCCUACGGGAGGCAGCAGUGGGGAAUAUUGCACAAUGGGCGGAAGCCUGAUGCAGCACAGCCGCGUGCGGGAUGACGGCAUUCGGGUUGUAAUCCGCUUUCGCCUGUGACGAAGCGUGAGUGACGGUAAUGGGUAAAGAAGCACCGGCUAACUACGUG